GGGGCUGGUCCGCCAUUGUGGCUCCUGACCUCUUCAGGCCUCAGGGGCCGCUGGGGAGGACACCGGACUCCAGACACCAGACACCGGAUGCCCGGACGCCCGGAGCCGGGAAAUGUCCUUGUCCUUGUGUAAUCUGCAGUGAUCGUGGGAGCCAUAGGGAGGACGCCAGGACACCUCAGGAGCCUGAAAUGGGGAAAAAUGGAACCAGAAUAUUGAAGAUUGGUACAGAAAUGAAGGGAGAAAUUUAAG